ACUCCUGCGGGAGGCAGCAGUGGGGAAUUUUGGACAAUGGGCGAAAGCCUGAUCCAGCCAUGCCGCGUGCAGGAUGAAGGCCUUCGGGUUGUAAACUGCUUUUGUACGGAACGAAACGGCCUUUUCUAAUAAAGAGGGCUAAUGACGGUACCGUAAGAAUAAGCACCGGCUAACUACGUGCCAGCAGCCGCGGUAAUACGUAGGGUGCAAGCGUUAAUCGGAAUUACUGGGCGUAAAGCGUGCGCAGGCGGUUAUGUAAGACAGUUGUGAAAUCCCCGGGCUCAACCUGGGAACUGCAUCUGUGACUGCAUAGCUAGAGUACGGUAGAGGGGGAUGGAAUUCCGCGUGUAGCAGUGAAAUGCGUAGAUAUGCGGAGGAACACCGAUGGCGAAGGCAAUCCCCUGGACCUGUACUGACGCUCAUGCACGAAAGCGUGGGGAGCAAACAGGAUUAGAUACCCCGGUAGUCC
rnacentral:rRNA from 1 species